rnacentral:rRNA from 1 species
AUAUGGUAGGAGAGCGUUCUGUAAGCCUGCGAAGGUGUCUUGUAAAGGAUGCUGGAGGUAUCAGAAGUGCGAAUGCUGACAUGAGUAGCGAUAAUGGGAGUGAAAAGCUCCCACGCCGUAAGCCCAAGGUUUCCUGUUCAACGUUCAUCGGAGCAGGGUGAGUCGGCCCCUAAGGCGAGGCAGAGAUGCGUAGCUGAUGGGAAGCAGGUUAAUAUUCCUGCACCGUCGUAUGAUGCGAUGGGGGGACGGAUCGCGGAAGGUUGUCCAACGGUUGGAAGUGUUGGUUUUUGACUCAUAGAAGGCGCUUAGGCAAAUCCGGGCGCGCAAUUCAAGGGGUCGAGACGAGAGACUUAGGUCUUGAAGCAAUCGGAAGUGGUUCCAAGAAAAGCCUCUAAGCUUCAGUCAUACGAGACCGUACCGCAAACCGACACAGGUGGGCGAGAUGAGUAUUCUAAGGCGCUUGAGAGAACUCGGGAGAAGGAACUCGGCAAAUUGGUACCGUAACUUCGGGAAAAGGUACGCCCCGGUAGCUUGACUGGUUUACUCCAGAAGGGUGAAAGGGUUGCAAUAAACUGGUGGCUGCGACUGUUUAAUAAAAACACAGCACUCUGCAAACACGAAAGUGGACGUAUAGGGUGUGACGCCUGCCCGGUGCUGGAAGAUUAAAUGAUGGGGUGCAAGCUCUUGAUUGAAGUCCCAGUAAACGGCGGCCGUAACUAUAACGGUCCUAAGGUAGCGAAAUUCCUUGUCGGGUAAGUUCCGACCUGCACGAAUGGCGUAACGAUGGCCACACUGUCUCCUCCCGAGACUCAGCGAAGUUGAAAUGUUUGUGAUGAUGCAAUCUACCCGCGGCUAGACGGAAAGACCCCAUGAACCUUUACUGUAGCUUUGCAUUGGACUUUGAACCAAUCUGUGUAGGAUAGGUGGGAGGCUUUGAAGCGGGGACGCCAGUCUUCGUGGAGCCAUCCUUGAAAUACCACCCUGGUUUGUUUGAGGUUCUAACCUUGGUCCGUUAUCCGGAUCGGGGACAGUGCAUGGUAGGCAGUUUGACUGGGGCGGUCUCCUCCUAAAGUGUAACGGAGGAGUUCGAAGGUACGCUAGAUACGGUCGGACAUCGUGUUGAUAGUGCAAUGGCAUAAGCGUGCUUAACUGCGAGACUGACAAGUCGAGCAGGUACGAAAGUAGGACAUAGUGAUCCGGUGGUUCUGUAUGGAAGGGCCAUCGCUCAACGGAUAAAAGGUACUCUGGGGAUAACAGGCUGAUUCCUCCCAAGAGUUCAUAUCGACGGGGGAGUUUGGCACCUCGAUGUCGGCUCAUCACAUCCUGGGGCUGUAGCCGGUCCCAAGGGUAUGGCUGUUCGCCAUUUAAAGUGGUACGUGAGCUGGGUUUAAAACGUCGUGAGACAGUUUGGUCCCUAUCUGCCGUGGGCGUUGGAAAUUUGAAGGGGGCUGCUCCUAGUACGAGAGGACCGGAGUGGACAGACCUCUGGUGUACCGGUUGUCACGCCAGUGGCAUUGCCGGGUAGCUAAGUCUGGAAGAGAUAACCGCUGAAAGCAUCUAAGCGGGAAACUUGCCUUGAGAUGAGAUUUCCCAGAGCCUUGAGCUCUUUAAAGGGUCGUUCGAGACCAGGACGUUGAUAGGUCAGGUGUGGAAGUGCAGUAAUGCAUUAAGCUAACUGAUACUAAUUGCCCGUACGGCUUGUCCCU